GACGAACGCUGGCGGCGUGCUUAACACAUGCGAGUCGAACGGAAAGGCCUCUUUCGGGGGGUACUCGAGUGGCGAACGGGUGAGUAACACGUGAGUAACCUGCCCUUGACUUUGGGAUAACUUCAGGAAACUGGGGCUAAUACCGGAUAGGAGCUCCUGCUGCAUGGCGGGGGUUGGAAAGUUUCGGCGGUUGGGGAUGGGCUCGCGGCUUAUCAGCUUGUUGGUGGGGUAGUGGCUUACCAAGGCUUUGACGGGUAGCCGGCCUGAGAGGGUGACCGGCCACAUUGGGACUGAGAUACGGCCCAGACUCCUACGGGAGGCAGCAGUGGGGAAUAUUGCACAAUGGGUGGAAGCCUGAUGCAGCAACGCCGUGUGCGGGAUGACGGCCUUCGGGUUGUAAACCGCUUUCGCUCAUGACGAAGCUUUGUGUGACGGUAGUGGGUAAAGAAGCACCGGCUAACUACGUG
rnacentral:rRNA from 1 species